AAAGUUUGACAGACAAUCGCCGGCGGCGAGAGCCGCGGGAGGAAAGUCCGGGCUCCGCAGGGCAGGAUGCUGGAUAACGUCCAGUCGGCGCGAGCCGAAGGAUAGUGCCACAGAAAUGGACCGCCGAUGACUGCUCCCCACUUGUGGGGAGCAGAACAGGUAAGGGUGGAACCGUGGUGUAAGAGACCACGAGGAGCAGGGGUGACUCUGAUCCUGGUAAACCCCAUCCGGAGCAAGACCUAAGAGAACGCGAGCGGCGGCGCAUGCCGGCCGCAAGCCCUUGCCCGGGGCGCGUUGGGUUGGUCGCUUGAGCCGUUCAGCAAUGGGCGGCCUAGAAAGAUGAUUGUCGCUUCAGUCCGUGGGAGGACGGCUCCGGCCGUCCGCGAUGACCACUUGAAGUACAGAACCCGGCUUACGGCAAACUUUCCGG
rnacentral:RNase_P_RNA from 1 species